CCCACCAGGCUCCGCCCGCCAGGCCCCGGCCCGCCUGCAGAGGCGGCUCUGCCAGAAGGCAAACCCAGCGAGGGUAUCUCCAGAGCGUACAUCUAGAGGACAGGUGCCUUGUCCCUUUUAGAGCUCAACUGUGCAUUGAAAUGCAGAACUAGACAUUUCUAGGGCCUAUGUCUCCUUGAACUCUAAUGACUUUCAUUCCAUAGAAGCAUCUCCAGUAAGAGCUAUAGUGGCCUCUGAGAAGGGAACGUGCUGGUUACAGAACACAAGUGUCUUCCGCGGUUUCGUUCUGUGCUCGGUUUUUGAGGCACAGAAGUAGGAUCAGUGGCUCAGUUUGCUGGAAGAAGGACAGCCAGCAGCAAAUCUGAAUGUCUUCCCAUCACAACCGCAAGCUCCUUGAAAGCAGGAACAUGAGUCUUAGAGUUGAUGAAAUCGCCGCACGGAGGUAGCAGUAAAAGACAUCGGAGAUGGGAAGAGUCAAAUAACAUUCCUGAUUUUCCACCCAUCAAUCAGUGCUCAGCCAGAAGAGCAGAAGGCUUUCUCUAGCCAAGCCAAUGCAAGGUGACUUCCACCUUCAUAGACAUCUUCAGCAUUUAACUUCCACUCGUCAGCGGCUACAGAGGAAUGAAAUGCAUUUACUCAUAAACUAUGGGAAGUCCCUCUUGAUCACGACCUCUUGUAUGUCACUCUGUGUUCCACAUCAUUCACUGCCAAAUAAGCGAAUGCAGUGAUGUUCACAUGUGUGGCUUCUCAUGACCACUCCCUAUAACCACUUACCAUCUCUGUACAAAUUUAAAUUGGGGGAAGAAAAGGGAGUCCUUCUUAACUUUUCUG